rnacentral:lncRNA from 1 species
GGUGAUGUUGGUAUUUUUGGAAAGCCUAGGACCAGGAGCACUUCUAGAAACAAACGGCAGCCAAAACAAAGCCUGGAAGAGCAUGAAUUCCUGCUACAAAGAUGACCCAAUCUAGCCGGAGAAGAAAAUCCUUUUGCAUGCUGCCAAUUUGGCCAAAUCUAGCGCCAAGAAUCUUCACUACUCAUAGAUCUAGGCCAGAUCUACAAGCCCAAAUGCACUAUCUUGAGAAAUUGGGUUGAGGACCCAGGCGAGAAAGUGAAAACCCCAAAUUGUUCCUCAAACCGAGCCAAGAAAGAUUGUAUCUCUUCAAAUACUGC